ACAUAGGUGGCAACCCUAUGUUCCUGUUUAAUAUUUUAAAUGUUCAAUAUUUUUAAAUUCCAGUUGCAUUCUUUAUAUAUGUGUGAUAAUUGACUGCAACAGACAGCUAGUCUUGACAACUAACUUAGUGCUUUUGCUAUCACAGAGUGACUGAUCAUUUAGGCUAGCUCUGAGUUAGUUUCCAUUCAAAGCGCGUGUGCCAUCGUGUUAGCAGCUAGUACUUUGCACAAGUACUUUUUAGAAAACUCUAAUACAUACUGAAGGUUGUUCUGUGUAUAGAACUAUGUGUUAUUUAUGCAUUUGUAACGUUAUUUAUUUGUUUUUCAGGUAUUUGUUCAGACUUAAAGCUAAAUGCAGUGUCGCUAUUGUACAUUUUCACAUCUGCAGCAAGACACAGGCUACAGGCUUCAUCAUUGGCAAACUUAAAGCUAAAUGCAGUGCUGCUUUUGUACAUUUUCACAUCUGCAGUGCACAUAUGCAAUGCUUCAUCAUUGGCAAGCAGACCACAGAUCUAACCACUUAUGGGUCUGCUGUUCUUCGUGGUCUUCCCCUGUACAU